rnacentral:rRNA from 1 species
GAUGAACGCUAGCGGCAGGCUUAAUACAUGCAAGUCGAGGGGGCAGCAAUGUCACCGGCGGACGGGUGCGUAACGCGUAUGAAACCUACCUUUAUCAGGGGGAUAGCCCGGGGAAACCCGGAUUAAUACCGCAUAACAUAUUAAACGGCAUCGUUUACUAUUGAAAGAUGUAUCGGAUAGAGAUGGUCAUGCGUAGGAUUAGCUAGUUGGUAAGGUAACGGCUUACCAAGGCGACGAUCCUUAGGGGCUCUGAGAGGAGUAACCCCCACACUGGCACUGAGAUACGGGCCAGACUCCUACGGGAGGCAGCAGUAGGGAAUAUUGGGCAAUGGGCGAGAGCCUGACCCAGCCAUGCCGCGUGCAGGAAGACGGCCCUCUGGGUUGUAAACUGCUUUUGAAUGGGAAGAACGGUAGGCCUGCGGGCUUAAUUGACGGUACCAUUAGAAUAAGCCACGGCUAACUACGUGCCAGCCGCCGCGGUAAUAC